rnacentral:rRNA from 1 species
CCUGCGGAGGGAUCAUUACACAAAUGAAAAUAUGAAGGCCCUUCAAACCGGCUGGAUUAUUUUUCUUCACCCUUGUCUUUUGCGCACUUGUUGUUUCCUGGGCGGGUUCGCUCGCCACCAGGACCACACCAUAAACCUUUUUGUUAAUGCAAUCAGCGUCAGUAAAAAGUAAUAAUUAUUUUACAACUUUCAACAACGGAUCUCUUGGUUCUGGCAUCGAUGAAGAACGCAGCGAAAUGCGAUACGUAGUGUGAAUUGCAGAAUUCAGUGAAUCAUCGAAUCUUUGAACGCACAUUGCGCCCUUUGGUAUUCCAAAGGGCAUGCCUGUUCGAGCGUCAUUUGUACCCUCAAGCUUUGCUUGGUGUUGGGCGUUGUUUGUCUUUGGCCUUGCCCAAAGACUCGCCUUAAAACAAUUGGCAGCCGGCCUACUGGUUUCGCAGCGCAGCACAUUUUUGCGCUUGCAAUCAGCAAAAGAGGUUGGCCAUCCAUCAAGACUACAUUUAUACGUUUGACCUCGGAUCAGGUAGGGAUACCCGCUGAACUUAAGCAUAUCAAUAA